AUGCGUGUUAUUUUUAAUAUUUCUGUGAAAACGCUAACCACAGUCUGGGCUGACAGCCACAAGCUGAAGAAACACCUGCAGCCAGGUGAUACUGAGCACCAUGUAUUUGCAAAACACUUUUCUCACGGAAGAAGUCAAUUAAGUGAUCCAGUGCAACAAAUUCUACAUUCCUGGGCUACUGUGAGGAGGAAUGCAUUACUGACUCUGAAGCACCAGAACUACAGGGAUGUCCUGUUAGUACUGUCACCAGUUGCCACAGCUCAGCAGCUGAGCCCUAAAUAA
rnacentral:lncRNA from 1 species